rnacentral:rRNA from 1 species
AAUCCUACGGGGCGCCGCAGUAGGGCUUCUUCCAGUUUUGACGAAAGUCUGAUGGAGCAACGCCGCGUGAGUGAAGAAGGGUUUCGGCUCGUAAAGCUCUGUUGGUAGUGAAGAAAGAUAGAGGUAGUAACUGGCCUUUAUUUGACGGUAAUUACUUAGAAAGUCACGGCUAACUACGUGCCAGCAGCCGCGGUAAUACGUAGGGGGCAAGCGUUGUCCGGAUUUAUUGGGCGUAAA